rnacentral:rRNA from 1 species
UACAGAGGUCCCAAGCGUUGUUCGGAUUCAUUGGGCGUAAAGGGUGCGUAGGCGGUGAGGCAAGUCUGGUGUGAAAUCCCGGGGCUCAACCCCGGAACUGCACUGGAUACUGCUUUACUAGAGUACUGGAGAGGGAACUGGAAUUUACGGUGUAGCAGUGAAAUGCGUAGAUAUCGUAAGGAAGACCAGUGGCGAAGGCGGUUCUCUGGGACGGUACUGACGCUGAGACGCGAAAGCGUGGGGAGCGAACAGG